UACGGGGGGGGGCAAGCGUUUGUUCGGAAUUACUGGGCGUAAAGGGCUCGUAGGCGGCCAACUAAGUCGGAUGUGAAAUCCCCAGGCUUAACCUGGGAACUGCAUCCGAUACUGGAUGGCUUGAAUUCGGGAGAGGGAUGCAGAAUUCCAGGUGUAGCGGUGAAAUGCGUAGAUAUCUGGAGGAAUACCGGUGGCGAAGGCGGCAUCCUGGACCGACAUUGACGCUGAGGCGCGAAAGCUAGGGGAGCAAACGGG
rnacentral:rRNA from 1 species